UACGUAGGGUGCAAGCGUUAAUCGGAAUUACUGGGCGUAAAGCGUGCGCAGGCGGUUCUAUAAGACAGAUGUGAAAUCCCCGGGCUCAACCUGGGAACUGCAUUUGUGACUGUAGAGCUGGAGUGCGGCAGAGGGGGAUGGAAUUCCGCGUGUAGCAGUGAAAUGCGUAGAUAUCAGGAGGAAUACCGAUGGCGAAGGCAGGUCUCUGGGCUGACACUGACGCUCAUGCACGAAAGCGUGGGGAGCAAACAGG
rnacentral:rRNA from 1 species